rnacentral:rRNA from 1 species
CCUACGGGUGGCAGCAGUGAGGAAUAUUGGUCAAUGGACGAGAGUCUGAACCAGCCAAGUCGCGUGAAGGAUGACUGCCCUCUGGGUUGUAAACUUCUUUUAUGUGGGAAUAAAAUGUUCCACGUGUGGGAUUUUGUAUGUACCAUAUGAAUAAGAAUCGGCUCACUCCGUGCCAGCAGCCGCGCUAAUACGGAGGAUCCGAGCGUUGUCCGGAUUUAUUGGGUUUAAAGGGAACGUAGGUGGAUUGUUAAGUCAGUUGUGAAAUCUUGCGGCUCAACCGUAGAAUUGCAGUUGAAACUGGCAGGCUUGAGUACAGUAGAGGUGGGCAGAAUUCGUGGUGUAGCGGUGAAAUGCUUAGAUAUCACGAAGAACUCCGAUGGCGAAGGCAGCUCACUGGACGGCAACUGACACUGAGGCUCGAAAGUGUGGGUAUCAAACAGGAUUAGAUACCCGAGUAGUC